GUGUUCUAUGAAAGGAAAGGAGGGUAAUACUGCCCUGGACAGGGAUGGACUGGCCCUGGGGCUCACACCAAGCAUGAGAGAAGGCACAGCUACCUAAUGGCUACCUACUUCCAGGCACCUGGUGUUUCU
ensembl:snRNA